UACGAAGGGGGCUAGCGUUGUUCGGAAUCACUGGGCGUAAAGGGCGCGUAGGCGGCUUUAUAAGUCGGGGGUGAAAGCCUGUGGCUCAACCACAGAAUUGCCUUCGAUACUGUAGAGCUUGAGACCGGAAGAGGUAAGUGGAACUGCGAGUGUAGAGGUGAAAUUCGUAGAUAUUCGCAAGAACACCAGUGGCGAAGGCGGCCUACUGGUCCGGUUCUGACGCUGAGGCGCGAAAGCGUGGGGAGCAAACAGG
rnacentral:rRNA from 1 species